rnacentral:misc_RNA from 1 species
UUUCCGUAGGUGAACCUGCGGAAGGAUCAUUAUUGUAUAACCGAGGUGCGAGGGCUGUCGCUGACCCGAAAGGUCGUGCACGCCCGAGUGCCCUCACACACAUCCAUCUCACCCCUACGUGCACCACCGCGUGGGUCCCCCUUUGGCUUGUUCGGAGGGGGGCUUACGUUUUCACACAGACCCCCUUUUAAAAGUGUAGAAUGACCACAUUUAUGCAAUCAAUACAACUUUCAACAACGGAUCUCUUGGCUCUC